rnacentral:rRNA from 1 species
UACGUAGGCAGCAAGCGUUGUUCGGAAUUACUGGGCGUAAAGAGUACGUAGGUGGUUUGCCAAGUCCGAUGUGAAAUCUCCUGGCUUAACUGGGAGGGUGCGUUAGAUACUGGCAGGCUUGAGUGUGGGAGAGGAGAGCGGAAUUCCUGGUGUAGCGGUGAAAUGCGCAGAUAUCAGGAGGAACACCGAUGGCGAAGGCAGGUCUCUGGGCCAUAACUGACGCUGGAGAAGCGAAAGCAUGGGGAGCGAACAG